GAUGAACGCUGGCGGCGUGCCUAAUACAUGCAAGUCGAGCGAACGGACGAGAAGCUUGCUUCUCUGAUGUUAGCGGCGGACGGGUGAGUAACACGUGGAUAACCUACCUAUAAGACUGGGAUAACUUCGGGAAACCGGAGCUAAUACCGGAUAAUAUUUUGAACCGCAUGGUUCAAAAGUGAAAGACGGUCUUGCUGUCACUUAUAGAUGGAUCCGCGCUGCAUUAGCUAGUUGGUAAGGUAACGGCUUACCAAGGCAACGAUGCAUAGCCGACCUGAGAGGGUGAUCGGCCACACUGGAACUGAGACACGGUCCAGACUCCUACGGGAGGCAGCAGUAGGGAAUCUUCCGCAAUGGGCGAAAGCCUGACGGAGCAACGCCGCGUGAGUGAUGAAGGUCUUCGGAUCGUAAAACUCUGUUAUUAGGGAAGAACAUAUGUGUAAGUAACUGUGCACAUCUUGACGGUACCUAAUCAGAAAGCCACGGCUAACUACGUGCCAGCAGCCGCGGUAAUACGUAGGUGGCAAGCGUUAUCCGGAAUUAUUGGGCGUAAAGCGCGCGUAGGCGGUUUUUUAAGUCUGAUGUGAAAGCCCACGGCUCAACCGUGGAGGGUCAUUGGAAACUGGAAAACUUGAGUGCAGAAGAGGAAAGUGGAAUUCCAUGUGUAGCGGUGAAAUGCGCAGAGAUAUGGAGGAACACCAGUGGCGAAGGCGACUUUCUGGUCUGUAACUGACGCUGAUGUGCGAAAGCGUGGGGAUCAAACAGGAUUAGAUACCCUGGUAGUCCACGCCGUAAACGAUGAGUGCUAAGUGUUAGGGGGUUUCCGCCCCUUAGUGCUGCAGCUAACGCAUUAAGCACUCCGCCUGGGGAGUACGACCGCAAGGUUGAAACUCAAAGGAAUUGACGGGGACCCGCACAAGCGGUGGAGCAUGUGGUUUAAUUCGAAGCAACGCGAAGAACCUUACCAAAUCUUGACAUCCUUUGACAACUCUAGAGAUAGAGCCUUCCCCUUCGGGGGACAAAGUGACAGGUGGUGCAUGGUUGUCGUCAGCUCGUGUCGUGAGAUGUUGGGUUAAGUCCCGCAACGAGCGCAACCCUUAAGCUUAGUUGCCAUCAUUAAGUUGGGCACUCUAAGUUGACUGCCGGUGACAAACCGGAGGAAGGUGGGGAUGACGUCAAAUCAUCAUGCCCCUUAUGAUUUGGGCUACACACGGGCUACAAUGGACAAUACAAAGGGCAGCGAAACCGCGAGGUCAAGCAAAUCCCAUAAAGUUGUUCUCAGUUCGGAUUGUAGUCUGCAACUCGACUACAUGAAGCUGGAAUCGCUAGUAAUCGUAGAUCAGCAUGCUACGGUGAAUACGUUCCCGGGUCU
rnacentral:rRNA from 1 species